GAUUGAAACCACAUGCAAGAGCUCCACUGCCAGGGACAGCCAGGACAGCAUCAUCUAUCACUGUGAUGGCCAACUUAACAUAGCCAGGGACUUACAGCCCCAGUGCUUCAGCUAGCAUAAUUGUGGUUUGCUAUCUGCAACACUUCCUCCCAUUCAAUACUGUCUGAAAAUAUUGAUGUCAAGCCUGAGUUUCAGCUGUGGCCCUAGUCCUGGCCUAGGAGGAGAGGAUGGCCGACACUACAGUCAGGUGCUUGGACUGACAAGGAAUGAAGGGAGCACGUACAAAUACAUUCACUACAGAAGGGAGUGUACAAGAGGCAGUACUCCAAAAGUCAGUGUUUGGCAGCAGAGGCCACAGUCAUCACAGUUAUUUUUGAUUCAAAAUACAGGGAGGAACUGCAGUAAAUGGGACGUGCUAGCUUGCAACACUAACACAAUCUCAUCAAUGGAUAAUCACUGUUUACAUGUGCUGGAUAUCAGCAUCUAUAAACUCCUAAAACACCUGAACCUUAACUGA
rnacentral:lncRNA from 1 species